GAUGAACGCUGGCGGCGUGCCUAAUACAUGCAAGUCGAGCGAACGGACGAGAAGCUUGCUUCUCUGAUGUUAGCGGCGGACGGGUGAGUAACACGUGGCUAACCUACCUAUAAGACUGGGAUAACUUCGGGAAACCGGAGCUAAUACCGGAUAAUAUUUUGAACCGCAUGGUUCAAAAGUGAAAGACGGUCUUGCUGUCACUUAUAGAUGGAUCCGCGCUGCAUUAGCUAGUUGGUAAGGUAACGGCUUACCAAGGCAACGAUGCAUAGCCGACCUGAGAGGGUGAUCGGCCACACUGGAACUGAGCCACGGUCCAGACUCCUACGGGAGGCAGCAGUAGGGAAUCUUCCGCAAUGGGCGAAAGCCUGACGGAGCAACGCCGCGUGAGUGAUGAAGGUCUUCGGAUCGUAAAACUCUGUUAUUAGGGAAGAACAUAUGUGUAAGUAACUGUGCACAUCUUGACGGUACCUAAUCAGAAAGCCACGGCUAACUACGUG
rnacentral:rRNA from 1 species